UCUUUUAGAGAGCCUGUGCCCCUGGGCUGUCAUCUUCACAUAUGCUUCUCAGUUGCCCUCCCUCUCCCAGUGAAAUCCGAGGCUAGUAGAAGCUAAAUUCAGGUGUUUCCCUUCCUCUAGAUUGGUUAGACUCUGGUAAAAUAAUUUGCCUUGAAGGCAGGCCUUGUUAAAAAGAACAGAAUGUUCUGGACAUAUUUAAAAAUGGCUACUUUCUCCCUCCCUGUGUCAGAAGCAUGAAGAGAUUUUCUUCCUACACUCACGAUGAGAACCUGGUGGAGCUCCUAAAGAUUGGCUCUCCUGAUGGUUGCACGAUGGCUGCAGCAGUUCCAGAUGUCCCAUCGAGACACAAAAAGAUCCCAGAUGGAAGAUGCCAUCUCCUCCUAUGUGCCUCUUUUUAAGAGUUACACAGGAGUGAGGAGGACCACCAAACCAAACUAAGACUCGGAGGAAAAAAAAAAAAGAAAAAGAAGAAAAUGUCUGCUAGGUGCCAUGCCACUCAAACAGCCAAUGGAAAGGCCCACGUGGCGAGAGCUAAGGCUUCCUGCCAACAGGCAAGUGAGGAAGCCCAGUCAGCUGCCUGCAGUCCUGACCCAUGAAGAGCCUGACUGAAAGUGAAUGAGCAACCCUGAGCUAGGACAACCCAGCAAGGCCCAUCCUGAAUUCCUGCCCACAAAAACUCUGAGACAGUAAAUGUUCGUUGUUUUAAACCACAAAGUUUUGAAGUAAUAGAUUAAUUAGGUAACCAAUUGGGACUGCAGUAUUCCUUCAGGGAACUUGAAUAGUCAUUCUGUAUAUGGAAAUUGUACACAUCUUAAAAUUGCUGGACUAAAGUGAGAAGAGACUGUCUUGAGUCAACUGGAUAAAGUGGAAAAAAAAUUAAUUUGGAAAUCAAUAGAAUUCUGGCCUUGGCUUUGUCACUAAGAAACACUUAUAAGUAAUUUCACUUCUCUUGAAAUUAUGAUCAUUAUCUAUAACAUAAAGGAACUGAGCUAAAUGUUAUCUGAUGCCUCUUUAGGCUCUCAAACUCCAUAGAUUUAUGACAUGCUUGAAAUUCACUUUGUUUCACCCUAAUUCAGAGCUUUGUUUCACUAGCUCUAGAAUUAGAUGCCUUGGGUUUAAAUUGCAAUUCAGUCACUUAUUUAAAUAAUUGUACUUGGAUGAGUGAUGUUGCCAUUUUAAGCCUCAGUUUCCCCAUAGAUUCAUUGAGAAGAUCAAAUAAGAUGAUGCAGAUAAAGCUCUUAGUUUGUGGGGACACUUAGUAAGUGCUUAAUAAAUACAGGCAGUUGUGUUAUCUAUGUUGUAGCAGCACAUUUUGUAAAAUAAAACAAAGUUGAAAUCACAGAUCUAUAUUUUUAUGUA
rnacentral:lncRNA from 1 species